UCUAAGACUCAUUCUCUGUGUUAAUGUCCCUAUAAUUUUUGGUUGUUCUAUUUUUCCAUAGCUCAAGCGACAUUAACAUUUGACAGUGGGUAGCAGAUGAUGCACAAUGGGGCAGCUGCAGGCAGCUUACAACAGGAAGCUUUCCUAGGCAGCCACCAUUUCUUCCUUAUCUGUAUGGUAGAAUUUCUAAGUAGUCUGUGUUGCAGAUAAAAUACUGACUGUGAAAUGGGUUGUGUACCGCCUGCCUUUUCCUGCCUGAAGAAGCUGCCACUUGAUACACACGUGCUGAAAUCCUCUGUCAUUCCUUCCUACCUGCAACACUUUUGCAUGGGGGGAGAUUAAGGGAUGAGACCUCCUAAUCUUAAUUUAUUAAAGUAUUAUUUGACCUUCUUUCAGGUGCCCUUCUCAGCCAAAAGACAGUUGUUCUUCUGUUUGGUUUUGAACAAGCAGCAGAAACUUUGAAAGUGCUGCUGAUUGCUGUUACAACAUGUUAAAAACCACACUGAUGGGAUGCAUUCUCAGAUGCUCUCCCAUGAAUUAAGUUUGUACGUGACUUUUGUUAUAAGAUGCAGAUGAUAACCUUUGCAUCAAGGAAUCUUGUAGUUGGGAAACUAUUUCAGACAUUUAAUGACAUUUUAUGUUCAUGUGAGCACAGAUAUUUGCAAAACAGAUUAAAAUCAUGAUUGUGAAAACUCAAGUUUUGCCCCAAAUCCAGAUAUUUUUAAAUGUUUUAAAGAAAAAAAUUAAACUGCAGUGACUGCAACCAAAGGAAGUAAUGAUAUGACUGAACUAAUGCCUCUCACUUCCUGUACUGCUAAAAUGUAUGUUAUCUUAGAUCCCGCAUGCAUCCCAAUGCUACAGCAACAGAUAAUAGGCUGUAUUACCAAUGAUAGGACGCUAAGAAAAGUUUAGGUGUCAGAGUUUCUAAGACUAAUUCAGACUGUUGGUAAACAAGAUUAUACUCCUCAAUACACUUAAAAUUAACAGAAGUGACAAGACUCAUUCAUUUGGAAGCAAGACUGUUUUUGGGGAUGGAAGUAAGGGCUGUUGGGCAUAGCUGGAAUCACCUUGAGUUGUAGACAUGGAGAAGACAAAUCUCCACUGUGACUAAGAGAAUUAUGUGACCUUAAUCCUGAAAAAAAAUGGAAGGCUUUCUGUGGUCAGAUCAGGGUUAACUCUCUGGGACUGCACUGAUGGCACUUAAUAUUCUACAGCUAUAUUGACAGUUGCAGCCACGUCUUGCAUAACAGUUUAAUAGUUAAGGCACAUCACAGGAUGCCUGUUUCUAAUGUAAAACCCUGCAGAGAUGUGAACUGAAGAAUUCAUCAGCAAAAAUACUGUAUCCCAACUGGACAGGCUUCUGUAAUUGCCUCUGAUAUAGCUGGCCAGCCCUGCUGUCAGAGAUGGGAUGUAGAGCAGAUCAUUCUUAUGCCUGGUCCAGUUUGGUGAUUGCUGUAAUAGGACACCAGGAUGUGGUAGCAAGUCGUUUGCUGCUUUCCUUGAUGUGUGCUGUAAAACUCUAUUUCAGGACAAAUUUAAAACUAUGGUAAUCAUGCAUCAUGUGGGAUGCGCUUCCUUUUUUCUUUUUGGUAGCUGUCUGAAAGAGAGUAAAUGACUUAAUAGAAUUAGAUUCAGGGACAAAAGCAUCAAAGACCUUGUCUCUCUAUUCCUUUCCUCUCACUGGAGUUACAAAAAGUGGUAUUCAAAUGUGAUCUAAUUAACCUUGUUUAUUAUUUAAUAUGUUGUGCUGUCUAAUUUUUUACAGUCUUGUCUAUGCAGGUAUGCUUAUUUCAUGAAAAAUCAAAAUCAAGAGAUGAAGAAGGCUCUUAACAGUGCUGUUCACACCUUUGGGAUAAGGGGCUGAGAUGUUUAUGCCAGUUGAUCCUUCGCUGAGUGUUCAACAGGAUGCAAAGUAGGCAUACAGUGCAGUAGUCUAAAAGGAAAUUAUUUUCUCCAUUUACUAUCCUGAAAGUAAAUGAGUUGAUUUUUCAGUGAAUGGGGGAUUCAUCUGAAAUUUACAUGCAGGGCCCUUUUUUACAUAAAGCAAGUAGAAUCCUGAAUUAUUCACAGUUUUCUCAUUUCUUUGGUUAUCCUGGAAGGAAGGAAACUAGAGUUUAUUCUACAGACAGUUUCUCUUUAUUGCUGUAAUGGGAACAUUGCACUGGUAAUUAUAGUUUUACUAAUUAUACUUAUUCGUUUAAUCCUCGUAGGAAGAAUAUUAAGUCUGGUUUGCUGUUUGGCACUAUAGCUAAAUUAUGAAUUGUAAGCAGGAAAGAGGUCAAGUCUGUUUGUGUGAUCUUGUCCCUGAUUCUCUUUUAGGUUCCUGGGAGGUUCCUUCUGAAAGAAGGCUCAGUCAAUUUUGAAUAAUUCACUCUACAGACCUUAUGCUUGUACAGUGCGGAGAAGCACGUUACAGGAAAAAAUUGUAGAAGGAUUUCUAGCCUUACUACUGGUUGCAUCUUGAUAUCACAGUUGUUUUAUUGAUUUGUUAACAAAACCCUUAAUGUCUUUCUGUCAAGUUAAUUCUCACUGAUAAAUGUAGAGGACUGCUCUAUCUUGUUCUGCUUAGAGACAGUAAGAAAUGGUGGUCUUCUUUCUUCACAGAGAAUAUAGAGCCAGAUCCAAAAUGCUUCUAAAGGAAGAAGACAUUCUGUUCAUUGGUUUAAGCACAGCUUGGAUCAGACUUGUUACUAACAAACCUCAGAAUCUGAACACAUCAGCAAAGAAUUGAUGCUGAGGCUGCAAAUAAUUAACUCCUGAAUAUCCACUGGAUGUAUGAAGUUCCAGAGAUGGUAACCAGACAUCAAUUUCUGUGGUAACUUUUUAACCCCAAAGGCUUAAUCUUGUAUUUGAAAGCAGCCAACACUUUGAAAGAGAAGUUUUUAUCUGGAGUUAACAUGACCUUGUAACAUCAUGGGCUGGAUCCUUUAUAGGAGUCAACUGGCAAGACUGUUGAAAUUAGUGUGAGUAUGCUAAAGCAUACCGUCUGAGACUGCAAGAACUGAGCUUCAUAAGAAUGAGAUUUCUAAGACACUAUCGUUACUCUACUCCCUGUGGAAAAAAAGCUUUGAUAAAGAAAAUUCAGAAAAUAAAAAUAAAACCCCGUCUCUUGAUUGCUAUGGGUGUACAGUAUUAAAUGAA